UACGUAGGGUGCGAGCGUUGUCCGGAAUUAUUGGGCGUAAAGGGCUCGUAGGCGGUUUGUCGCGUCGGGAGUGAAAUCCACUGGCUUAACUGGUGGCUUGCUUUCGAUACGGGCAGACUGGAGGUAUGCAGGGGAGAACGGAAUUCCUGGUGUAGCGGUGAAAUGCGCAGAUAUCAGGAGGAACACCGGUGGCGAAGGCGGUUCUCUGGGCCGAUACUGACGCUGAGGAGCGAAAGCGUGGGGAGCGAACCGG
rnacentral:rRNA from 1 species